rnacentral:tRNA from 1 species
GUGGGCGUAGCUCAGUUGGUUAGAGCGCCAGGUUGUGGCCCUGGAGGUCGUGGGUUCGACUCCCAUCGUUCACCCCA